AUGGCUGGUCGAGCACCCACCCCGGCGACCUCCUGCAGGGGAGAGGUCGAGUACAGAUCCAGUUCAUGGAGGAGAUGCCAGCACAGGGUCAAUCAGUCUCUUGUUCGUCCUUCGGAUGGUUCACUGCUCGCAGAGGUUAUUUGCUCAUUCUCUGCUCGUCUAUGUCGUCAGCGAGAAGGUUAUUUCGUGUGCUUGGAGUUUGUGGGUGCUUUACCUCCUUUUAUCGUCUUGUCGUUUGCUUCUUUGCCUGCCCAGAUCCUGAUGUUGUUGUCUUCGAUUGCUUUGCAGUCUAACACUAUUAGCUCUCCAGUUCUUCGUCUUGCUGUCAAGCAAAUCACUAUCAAAGAGAAGGAGGUGGAUACAAGUAUGGAAUCUGACAUUGUCCCUGUUACUGCUAAUAGAUCCAAGCACGCAAAGAAACAAACGAUUUUACGGACCGGAUACCAUAGCGGAAUCAACAAAGAAGUUGCAGUGGUGGAGGAUAUAUUCUCCGUCAUGAGUGGAUGCAAUGGCGGAGGACAAAAAAAAGAGGUGGGGUGGAGCUUGAGCUUCCUACGAAUGGUGUCUCUCUGCUGCCAGAUAGGAGGCUCUUCUGGGGAGUUGGUGGCACGGGGGCACUUGCUGCCUAUGAAUAGGCAACUUUGCAGGCUAUAA
rnacentral:rRNA from 1 species